UGGACUAUAGCUCAAGUGGCAGAGCGUGCGACUGUUAAUCGCAUGGUUGAAGGUUCAAGUCCUUCUAGUCCAG
rnacentral:tRNA from 1 species